GGCCUCGUGGGCUAAUGGAGAAGGCGUCUGACUUCGGAUCAGAAGAUUCCAGGUUCGAGUACUGGCGGGGUCG
rnacentral:tRNA from 1 species